AUGCCGCUGAGCCCCAGUGCGCCCGCAGACUGCGGUGCAGCACGAGCACAUGUAGAGGACGAGGAGGAGGAAACAGAGGAGGAAGAGGAGGCGGUGGCGGCUGUGUCUCAGCCAGGCUUUGCCCUCCUCAAACACCCCCGGGGAGCAGGGCAGCCAGCAGCCCCGGGAUGCUGCACACAGCAGACAGCACAGCCUCACUCGCGGCGCGGCAACAGGGAGAAGUCGACCAGGACCCUGACGGAUUUCAGCAAAGCAGCAGCUGCACCACCCAGCGCUAAAACCCCAACCCUCUUCCCAAAACCCCACAGGUGCCCCAAGGGCCACCCUGAUGACAGAGGAGACCACGGGUGGAGGGGACCACUGGCAGUGCCACAGGAAGGAGAGGGCCUGGGCAGCUGCUCUAGGGCUGGCAGCGCUGCCGCCCUGUCCCGCUUCAUACAGCCCAGCCGCAGGAUGUGUAACCAUUUUGCAGCUGCCAAGGCAGCAUUUUCAAAAGCAUUAACCCUGAAAAAGCAGAAAGCCCUGUGUGAGGCCAACCCAACCUCCCUUGAGCGCUUUAGAGCUCUACAAAUGAGAUCAGUCGUUUAUGCCGGGUAGCAUUUUGCAAUAUGUUCAUUUAAAUGAAACAAAGCGGUCCAUAAAUGCCCUGGAUUUUGGAACGUGAGUGAUGCCGGGAGCUUUCCUAAACAGUUUUUGUGGGUUGCAUCGGUGAGUCAUGGAGAAAUCGCAUUAAGUGGCUGAGCGGUCGGCACAGCCAGAGUGACCCUCCCCAGCACCCGGUGUCCCUGCCAAAGCAGGAGCACGAGGAGCAAAAGCCGGGAGGGUCGCACUCUGCAGGCAGGGCAGCGUGGCUGGCGAAGCCUUCCAUAGCCUCCAAAGGGCUGCAGCAGAGCGAGGCUCCUGGGGCAGAGCUCAGACGGCCCCUCACCAUCACCCUGCCCUUGCACAGCUCCAUCCUCUCCUCCUUGCCUUGCCCUGCCUGUCCCUAUGGACGGCUAGCUCCUGACCUCUGACGUGCACCUUGUGCCUGAUCCUAACCUGUUCCACAACCCACAUAGGGUGCACAUAGUCCAAGACCUGGCAGGCACAAGGGGCCACCGAGGCCCCAGCUGUAGCCCAAGAGAAGCAGCAGGAACGCCUGACGGUGCUCCAUUGCCCCGCAGGACGUCGGUGCCGGGUGUCGACAGAGCUACACACACAUGUGAGAAAGCAGCCAGAAGAACAGAAAGAUGUUAAGUAGGAAAGGCAAAUUACCUGCGAAACUUUCGGCUGAGCUAGAGUGUCCCGGAGGAGAUGCUGCUUUUGUGACUCCUUGCUUUCUCCGCGGGUUGGGGCUGCUUUUAUCAGGGAGCAGUGAUUGUUUUUAUAAACUUGCAGCACAGUAAGAACUGGUUUAAAAUAGAGUGAAAGGAGCUGGUGCGGAUGGAAUUAGACAAACUCUGAGGGCUGCUUCUCCAAAAAUAAAUUAACUUCUUGCAGCCCGCGGCGCA
rnacentral:lncRNA from 1 species